UACGAAGGGGGCUAGCGUUGCUCGGAAUCACUGGGCGUAAAGCGCACGUAGGCGGAUUCUUAAGUCGGUGGUGAAAGCCUGGAGCUCAACUCCGGAACUGCCUUCGAUACUGAGAGUCUUGAGUCCGGGAGAGGUGAGUGGAACUGCGAGUGUAGAGGUGAAAUUCGUAGAUAUUCGCAAGAACACCAGUGGCGAAGGCGGCUCACUGGCCCGGUACUGACGCUGAGGUGCGAAAGCGUGGGGAGCGAACGGG
rnacentral:rRNA from 1 species